UUAAAAGACGCAGCAAAUCCUGCGUGGUGCUUCCUAGGACCGGGGGUAGGCAAAAUAGAUUAUAUGGUACAACAGGGUCCGCCGAAUCAGAGAGUUCUGGCUCAAGUAGCCCCGAGGAAGAUGAAAUUGAUGAACUCAUUGCAGCCUCGAGCAAGCCCCACUACUGUUACAUUAAUAUCCUGUGGUGUUUGUCCCUCUGAGACACAACACAUGACAAACUCCCUUUGGUCAUCAGCAAACAGCCUCGUUUAUUGCCUCCAGCAGCCUUUUAUAGCCCAUUCCAAACUCCCAGGUCGAGACAGCUCCUUGGUCUAUCUCUGUGCCCCCAGACUCUGAACCAAUACAAUGUCUGCAUCUUAGGAGAGCUUGCAUUGGCUGUGAGCUUCUGUCAGUCAGCCCAGAGGCUGCUUCAUGGAGCUGAGCUGGGCUGCUUAUUAUAACAUGAUUAAUGCUAAUGCUACAUACACUGUGCACCACUAUCAACUAACACUUGCUAUUUUUGUGGCUCUGAUGUGCCAGGCCAUCGGAUCCACACUGUCUAGAAUUCCAGUUUUCCCGUGCCUCUUCCUGGUUUGAGGCAGGACCCCUCCAGCCCUGGUUAUUAUUUCUUUCCUGGGCAUACAUGGUAGAGGUACCUUCAGGGGGAUCUGACAGAUCAUACCUGGCAGCUCAGUCAUGGGAGGCUGAGGCUGCCUUCACUUUAGUGGAACUCCCUUUGUUAGUGUUUCCCUCCUUGAGUUGAUGCAGCCGUGCUGCCAGGACAGAAGUGUGUUUCCCAUCCCACCUUCCCAUGUCUUCCCCGUGGUCAUGCAGGGAGAACCACAGGUCAGCUCUUGGGGUGCACCCUCUCUGUCUAGCUGGGGGAUGUUGGGCUCUGAUUUUGGGGCCUGUGGCUUGCACUGGUGCAAUAUAGGAAUUGUUCCUCCUCAUCUGCUCCCUCAUCUGCUCUUUGAAGUCCUUAAUCACAGCAGAGACAUAAGCCUGCAUUGGGCUAUUGAUCACACUCUCAUAAUUUCUGAGCUUGCUGGUGACAGAGCCCACGGUCUCUCAGUUGGUGUCAGCAUUGAUCGUUGCAGUGAAGGUGGUGUAUUGAGAUGGCCCUGGAUUUGCCAGACUCCACAACAUUUGCCCUGUGCACCUGACCUUGUCAGGGUCAUUAUCAUGCUGUCCAUCCCUCCCAAAGAGUACCUCCAAUACUGCCACUUCUCACAGCUGUUGGAUCCCUUCCUCAGGGGUCUUCCAGCGCAUUCUAUGGUGGUGCUCCUGCAUUCUCUGUCUCUGGACAAACCUCUCUCUGACACUCAUUAGAAGCCACUCCCAGAGGGAAAGGGACCCUGGCUCCCUUACAAAAAUCUGACUCACACCUGAGUCCUGGGUCAAGGGUCCCCAAUUCCUUGCCUCAUUACCAUCCAGUUGCACGCCUGUACCCAUAAGGUCCCGGAGCCAAAGUAGCCAGGUUGUAUAAGCCUCACAUCCCCAUCGUACAAUGUCUUUGUGCAGAUUUUGGAAACUUUCGUUCGUCGGGGACUCAAUGAUGAUUGUGACCUCUGGGUCUCCUGAGGGUUGUGAGGGCCCUUCUUUACCUGGGUGCUUUGAUUUCAUCUUAGAUCUCCUUGUUUCUACAGGGGUGACUGGUGCUGGCUGUGAGUGCCCUUGCAGUUCAGCUGGAACCAGGACAUGUUGGUUCCAUUGCUGGUUCCAUUGCUGCACUGUUAGAUUCUCCCUCUUCAAGUCAAGGGGAGAGCUUCUCACCAGUCUCGACAGCCACCACCGAAAUGGCCAGCGUAUCACCCCCGGGAAUUGAUACGGGUGAACGUGAGGAAAGGACCAACUGGUACCUAGAGCUCCCCAUCCACACCUACUGCUUGCAAGGGCUAGCUGCUGCUGGCUGUGAGUGCCCUUGCAGUUCAGCUGGAACCAGGACAUGUUGGUUCCCUUGCUGGUUCCAUUGCUGCACUGUUAGAUUCUCCCUCUUCAAGUCAAGGGGAGAGCUUCUCACCAGGGUUUUUUUCAAGAUUUGGUGAGGGGCUUCCUCAUUUGCAUACUAGCUCUGACGUCGCCUCCCCACCACUACCUGCAGCCUUCAGGUGCCAAUCCUCUGGGAAGCCGCAGGGGGACAAUUGGGCUGAUUUCUAACCAUUAACAGGUAACUGAAGAAAAAUUAUUAACAACAGGUGAUUACAACAUGAAGUUAUUAACAACAGCAAUUGGUUUAACUUGUUAACUCUACAACUUAAAAAAAGGGACAACUUUUCUACUCAUAACAUCUCAUCAGUAGAGGAAGUGAUCCCUGAUAGCAAAUCAAACAAUAGUUGCAUCUGAUGAUUGGUUAUGCCUAAAUAUGAUUGAGUCCAACCUAUUGAACCAACCAAUUUCUGUACAUCAGUAACAGUUUUAACACCAAUGUCUAAUUUCACAGGUUGAGGCAUAACUUGAGUCACCAACAUCCCUAGAUAUUUCCAAGGCAUGUAUUCCUGUACUUUCUCUGAGGCAAUGAUCAGACCAAAGGCUUUCAAAUUUGUAACAGCACAUUGUUUAAGAGCUGAUAACUGUUUGUUGUUCAGAUGCCAACAAGAUAUCAUGCAUCUAAUGAUAACAAUAGCAGUUAUUAUAAUUGCUCCUGCACUUUUGACAAGGCCUGUGCCCACGUACCAUUGACAAAUAGUUGUAGAGUUUUUCAGGCCUUGGGGGAGUACCCUCCAUUGAUAUCUUUUGUUGGGUUCAGCAUGAUUUGUGGAAGGCACAGUAAAAGCAAAAAAAAUUUCUUUGUCUUGCACAGCCAGUGGAAUAGUAAAGAAACAAUCUUUCAAAUCAAUGACAGCUAUUUGCCAUUCCUGUGGAAUCAUUGUAGGUGUAGGAAGGCCUGGUUGUAAAGCUCCCAUUGUUGCCAUUACAGCCUUUGUCUGCUGUAAAUCAUGUAAAACUCUCCAUUUUCCUGAUUUCUUUUUUAUUACAAAACCAGGGGUAUUCCAGGGGCUGAAUUAUUCUUCAGUAUGUCCUGCUUGCAAUUGUUCUGUGACUAAUUCUUGCAGGGAUGUAAGCUUUUUGGUAGUAAGGGGCCACUGGUCAACCCAGACAGGUUUAUCUGUCAACCGUGUCAAGGCUACAACUGGAUGUUCACCGCCCUGCAUCACAGUGGCCCCUAUUAAAAAUCCGUAGUAAUUUUGACACCUCAUUGAGGUAAGCAAUCUCGUCCCCACAAUCUUUGAGGAGCAUCAGCAACGUGGGGUCUGAUGUUAACUUGUUGGUGACACGAUCCGUCCUAAGGACGUGAUUCGUGAAGGUUCUUUUUCUCUAAUCUCAAUGUUCAAAACCUGACACGACAAGGGGAUUUUGCAGUAAAAUCAAAACAGAUAUACUUUUAUUGAAUAGCCACACAGCAAAGACGCGUUAGAGAGAAGGGGAAUGAAGAAAAGGGAAAGAAUAAGGAAAAGAAAAGAAGAGAGGAAAGGCAAGGAGGUGUAUAGCUACCAGACGUGUAGAUGACAAAGUCCCUCAAAGUCCGGUCGACGAAGAGCCUGUCGUCUUCACGUCAGGGGAGAUCUCCAGGGUAUCAGUCAGCUCUAACCUCUUUUAUAGUCCUUUUGAAUGGGGCAAGGGGACACAUUUCAAAAUAGUCUAUUGAGAAAGGGUACAAAAAGUCUAUCAGUAGUCCGUCAGCAGCAGGCGUCGUACAAAAAGUCCAUCAGCAGUAGGCAAGAACCAUUGUAUUCUCGGUCCAGUGGUCGCUUGCAAAACUUGCUUUGGUCCCCAUGCACGCCUUCCCUCACCCUACAGUAGGGAUUUCAGUCUCAAUCCUUUUGGGAAGAAGAGGGGGCUUUUCCAUGUAGGGGUCGCAUGUCUCAGUCCUUGAGGGGAGAACCUUCUCCCAUCUCAGUCCAUCUGUCACGGUGGUUGAUGUACAGUGAAUGGAGGGUCUUUUAGUGGUGACCACCAAGAAGGUCAUUCCAGAGAGAAAGUCCAGCCAAGUCAGAAGGGUGGAGAAAUUCCAGGACUAGCGUUGCUAGGUGAUGCAGGCGAAGGAGAGCACACUGCCCCUUCUUGGGUGCAGUGUUCCAUGAGUUGAGCAAACACACCCAUAGACAAUAAUUUGGCUUGGUGGACCAGUCAGACCUGGAUUUUCAGAACAGGAUCUUUUCCUUUCCCCGGUGGUCUUGGCUUUCAUGAUGGUCGAGAGGCAAAAAAUGAGGGAAGUUUCGGACAGACACUCACAGUUGGCCAUCAGGAUGUUUCACAUUAAUUACAAUGGCUGACAAGCCACCUGUUGUAGCACCACCCAACCCCAUAAGUCCAAAAUAUGCAUGAGUGAGAGGCCACGAUUGAGGCCAACAAAGUCGCGACAGUAUUGUAACAUCUGCUCCAGUGUCAAUCAAACCUGUUACUGAUAUGGUUCUUGGAUGAUAUCCACUGGCUGUGAGGAUGCAUGUCUUUUCCAGAUGGUUUUCUGUUACUUUCUCAGUCCAGAACACUUGAGGUACCCCUGUUGAUCCAAAACUUCCUGUGCCACGACUUUGGUCCACUGUAUUUGGAACAGAACCCCCAAAAGGUACAAGUUGAGCAAUGCAAAUUCCUUUCUGAAUAGUGACAGGGGGGUCAUCGAUUGAUACCAUAGCAUGAAUCUAUUCUAUAUAAUCAGCAUCAAUAAAUCCUAAAUGCACAUGAAUACCUCUAAGUGUGGUACUUGAUCUCCCUAUCAAAAAUGCAUUCAAUCCUCAUCCUAUUAGACCGUAGGCAUUGAGGGGAACUUUGCAUAUUUCUUUUGUCAAAAUGGUUACUGUGUCAGCAGUGGGUAUAUCAGUCCCUGUGGACCCCUGAGUAUUGUUCACAAAUGGGUAGCUUUGCAGUACCAGGAAGGCCUGUAGUUGCUGCUGUGGUUGUCUGGGUAUUUGGGUUCCCACGUGCUUCUUUGCGCUCUUCCUCCCAUUUCCCUGCACUAGCUGACCAUUUGCAUGAUAUUUACUCCUGCAUUGUUUAGCAUGGUGCCCAAAUUUGGCACAACAAUUGCACAUAGUAUUGCUGCUUGCAUUUGACUUAGAUGUUAUUUUCUGGGUAUUACGCUGUGCCCUUACGUGCCCUUGCUGUCCACAGCUAUAGCAUUUUGAUGGAGGUCUUAGAACUGCAGCAAGAGCUGCCAUGUUAUGCUCUACUGAAUCAACUUUUGAGCAAGCAGUUACCAUUUCAGACAAUGUGGGCUCCCCAGAUGUUCAUCCCUUAAAAAGCCCAGCAGAGCCGCAUCAGAAGACUGCGCCAACCUAUGGAGUCUUCUCGCCUGUAUGCUUGGAAUAAGCACCACCAAUUUGAUGAUACCCAGACCACCAUCCUUAAAACUCGAAUACAAGAUGGCAUCACAUGUACUCAGUGGAAGAUGAAGCCAUUCCUUGACCGCCUUACGAAUCAACAGGUCAAGGGAUUCCAGAAGGCCCACGCUCACCUCGUAAUCAGGCCUUCAAAUACGAUGUUAUCUGUCUCCGCAUGCGGAGGGAAAUUCGCCAAGCUACCAAACUCUCCAGUUGUAUCCCAUUGUAUCUUAAAGUGAUCGUGGACAACCCCAGAUGGUAACUGGAACCACACAGUUUCCGUACUGUCCAGAAUAAUAGGUGCCAGAUGCCUUCUAUGCAACUCGUACAACACCUGAAAACUGAGAAAUUUCCCUCUUUUUACCGCCCUUUUACGCAUCCAAUUAGUUGCUGUUUUGGAUGCACUCCGACCACGAACCAUCUGCCUUUUUCAACCCCUGCUAGAUCUCAUAUUUUGGCCUGGCACACCCAGGCUAUUUCGAAACUCAUCAAAACCCUCAUUCACCAGCUUUGGCAGAUUUUGACCCUUCAAUGCCUUCUUGAAGACUUCAUGAUACCUGGCAAAUAUGCCAGGCAAUAAACCAGUUUUGAUGGCAUCACGGUAA